rnacentral:lncRNA from 1 species
AGCCACCAUGUGGUUGCUGGGAUUUGAACUCCGGACCUUCGGAAGAGCAGUCGGGUGCUCUUAACCACUGAGCCAUCUCACCAGCCCCAACCUCUCCCCCUUAAGGAAGAGAAAUGUAUUCUCUAAAGAAAGUUAAAACAGUUUAGACUUGGUUGUAGAAUACUUUGGAAAAGUAGCAUUUGAAUAAGAAAAGAAGAUCUGCUAAAGUAAAGUAGGCAAAGGGAAAGAGGUGUAAGAGAGAGGAGAGAGAGGCAGAGUCAGCCCUGCUGACCGCAGCGGGGAGGGAUCCAUAAGAACCUUGUAUUUAACCUUGUGAACAUGGGCUCCUCCUCCCCUUUCUGCAUAUUUGGUCAGCAAUCUCACAACCCCGUCCUUUUGAGUUGUGAGUCUAAAUUACAGGGGCAACUGUGGACAUACAGCUUUAAACACAUUUCAGACGAACUUGUACUUUGUUUACAGUGGCUGCACUAAUAAUUCCUUUGCAUUCACUACUUUUUGCAGUCUUGAUUGAAGGAAAGUAAUUAGUUUUGUUUUGCAUACAAUCAAAUGACAGUACAAUUGAUAUGUUUGUUCAAUUAAUGGUACUUCUAGAACUUUUACCAAGUUAAUUUUACUGGGGCUAACAUUUUCAAAGUAAUUUGAAUUUUUUAAGUCAAAUUAAGUAUCAUGGGUUUAUAUCAGUGGAAUCACUUCAUAGCUGCAUGGCACCUUCUAUACCAGUUACUAUGAAAAGAUACACAGUGAUAAAUUGCCCAGAUGCAAGAUUUAUUAAAAAUUAUUUUUUUAUGGGUGAAAGUUUUUUGUUUUUUGUUUUUUUUUUUUUUUAAUUCACGUACCUUAUUUUGGUUGUCAGUUGAUAGGCAUUUGGGCAGUGUAUUGGUUUGUUAACUUAUUUAUUACGCUAUGCAAUCCAGUCUGGUUUUAGAUUUACUGUUUUCCUGCUGUUGCUAAUAAUUCUGCUGUGUCCCCUUUUUCUUGCUUAUUUUUAGGGUGGGCGUCAUGGUGUAUGUUUUGUGUGGGUAUGUAAGUCGAAAUAAGGUGUUGGUUUAUGGUAUGAUAUUUAAAAUUCUUAGUUGUACCUACAUAUGAUGGUGCAACACAACACACCUUUAACCACAGUAGGAGGAUCUCUGCUCUAUUUACUGAGUUCUACAGUUAUACCUGCCUGAAAGCACUGCUUGUAAAGGACAGGGCAAGAAAGUGUGUGCUGGUUUACAUGGAAUACUGCAGCAAGAACCAGAGCUCCAAACUGCAUUAGUCAUUUUCCGAGUUUUAUUCUGGUAUGCUCAAACCUUAGUCCCUAGGAAGACAGACCGCCCAGUGGUCUUCUUACCUUGUGACUGCUGUAUAAUUCCUCAUCAACGAAUGUCUGUCAUGGCUGUGCAGAACAAAGUUGAGGAAGUUCAACUACAGGCAUUUAUAGCACAAGGUUUUGCAGGUAGCAGUGUAGCUGCUGAUAGACAGCUAAGGUAGGUUAGUCAUAUGUCUGUGGCCCUAGGCCGUAGUGGAAGCCAAGGAUUGUGAAUUGAAGGCUAGCCUGGAUUAUAUAGUGAGACCUUGUUUAACUCCCUCCUCCACC